rnacentral:rRNA from 1 species
UACGAAGGGGGCGAGCGUUGUUCGGAUUUACUGGGCGUAAAGGGCGCGUAGGCGGCCCGUUUUGUCAGGCGUGAAAGCCCUGGGCUCAACCUGGGAACUGCGCUUGGGACGGAUGGGCUUGAGAUCGGGAGAGGAGAGUGGAAUUCCCAGUGUAGAGGUGAAAUUCGUAGAUAUUGGGAAGAACACCGGUGGCGAAGGCGGCUCACUGGACCACAACUGACGCUGAUGCACGAAAGCUAGGGGAGCAAACAGG